AGCGAACGCUGGCGGCAGGCUUAACACAUGCAAGUCGAGCGCCCCGCAAGGGGAGCGGCAGACGGGAGAGUAACACGUGGGAACAUACCUUUUGGUUCGGAACAACUGAGGGAAACUUCAGCUAAUACCGGAUAAGCCCUUACGGGGAAAGAUUUAUCGCCGAAAGAUUGGCCCGCGUCUGAUUAGCUAGUUGGUGAGGUAACGGCUCACCAAGGCGACGAUCAGUAGCUGGUCUGAGAGGAUGAUCAGCCUCACUGGGACUGAGACACGGCCCAGACUCCUACGGGAGGCAGCAGUGGGGAAUAUUGGAAAAUGGGGGCAACCCUGAUCCAGCCAUGCCGCGUGAGUGAUGAAGGCCUUAGGGUUGUACAGCUCUUUUGCCCGGGAAGAUAAUGACGGUACCGGGAGAAUAAGCCCCGGCUAACUUCGUG
rnacentral:rRNA from 1 species